UUCUUGUCUUUUCAGAAUUUCAAGAAAUUUGAAGAAUUGAUCACCUGACAAACUUUUGAAUGGUUCUACUAACGAAUUCCAAGAACAAGAAAUUCCUGUGGUGGCCUGUAUUCCAUUAAAUGCAAUCAUUAAAAGAAAAUUCAGAAGAAUUCGGAACAAAGGAUUAUAACCAGGAAAUACAAAACAAGUCAUAGAACGAAAAGAAACAUUUGAAAUAUGCUCAAUAAGUUUAUUUUAAAUCAAUUUGUAUUCAAUAAAAUCAAAAUAAACAUGUGUAAA